rnacentral:rRNA from 1 species
UACGUAGGGGGCGAGCGUUGUCCGGAUUUAUUGGGCGUAAAGAGCGUGUAGGCGGCCAGGUAGGUCUGCUGUGAAAACUCGAGGCUCAACCUCGAGACGUCGGCGGAAACCAUCUGGCUAGAGUCCGGAAGAGGAGAGUGGAAUUCCUGGUGUAGCGGUGAAAUGCGCAGAUAUCAGGAAGAACACCCGUGGCGAAGGCGGCUCACUGGCCCGGUACUGACGCUGAGGCGCGAAAGCGUGGGGAGCAAACAGG